rnacentral:rRNA from 1 species
GACGAAGGGGGCUAGCGUUGUUCGGAAUUACUGGGCGUAAAGCGCGUGUAGGCGGUUUCCAUAGUCAGGUGUGAAAGCCUUGAGCUCAACUCAAGAAAUGCACUUGAUACUGGGCGACUAGAGGACCGGAGAGGAUAGUGGAAUUCCCAGUGUAGUGGUGAAAUACGUAGAGAUUGGGAAGAACACCAGUGGCGAAGGCGGCUAUCUGGACGGUUUCUGACGCUAAGACGCGAAAGCGUGGGGAGCAAACAGG